CCUACGGGAGGCAGCAGUGAGGAAUAUUGGUCAAUGGGAGAGAUCCUGAACCAGCCAAGCCGCGUGAGGGAAGACGGCCCUAUGGGUUGUAAACCUCUUUUGUCGGAGAACAAAACCCGGGACGUGUCCCGGACUGCGUGUAUCCGAAGAAAAAGCAUCGGCUAAUUCCGUGCCAGCAGCCGCGGUAAUACGGGGGAUGCGAGCGUUAUCCGGAUUUAUUGGGUUUAAAGGGUGGGUAGGCGGUCCGUUAAGUCAGCGGUAAAAUUGCGGGGCUCAACGCCGUCGAGCCGUUGAAACUGGCAGACUUGAGUUGGCGAGAAGUACGCGGAAUGCGCGGUGUAGCGGUGAAAUGCAUAGAUAUCGCGCAGAACUCCGAUUGCGAAGGCAGCGUACCGGCGCCAGACUGACGCUGAGGCACGAAAGCGUGGGGAGCGAACAGGAUUAGAUACCCGGGUAGUC
rnacentral:rRNA from 1 species